rnacentral:misc_RNA from 1 species
AAGUCGUAACAAGGUUUCCGUAGGUGAACCUGCGGAAGGAUCAUUAUUGAAUAAACUUGAUGGAUAGUUGCUGGCUCAUUAGAGCAUGUGCUCGUCUGUCAUUUUUAUCUUUCCACCAUGUGCACUCUGCAUAGACUUGUUAUAAAUUGGUCAAGUGUUCUUGAUCAUUGGGAAUUGCUGUUGUAAUGAUAGCUUUUUCUGUAUACAAGUUCUAUGACUUUAUAUACUCCAAUGAAUGUGAAUGAACGUUUACAAAGGCUUUCAAAGGCCUAUAAAUUAUUAUACAACUUUCAGCAACGGAUCUCUUGGCUCUC